UACGGAGGGUGCAAGCGUUAUCCGGAAUCAUUGGGUUUAAAGGGUCCGCAGGCGGGAAAAUAAGUCAGUGGUGAAAUCUCACAGCUCAACUGUGAAACUGCCAUUGAUACUGUUUUUCUUGAAUUCGAUCGAAGUGGGCGGAAUGUGACAUGUAGCGGUGAAAUGCUUAGAUAUGUCACAGAACACCGAUAGCGAAGGCAGCUCACUAGGUCUGGAUUGACGCUCAGGGACGAAAGCGUGGGGAGCAAACAGG
rnacentral:rRNA from 1 species